rnacentral:ribozyme from 1 species
AAGAAUGAAUAGAGAAAGAAGGAAAGAAAAGAAGAAGUCUUGUGUCUGUCUAUCUUCAUCUCUGUUUCUGUCUCCGUAUCCUUCUCUGCCUUUCUCUCUCUC